AUGGCGCCAAAUCCUUGGCGCAAGGGUGCCGGUCCAACCGAUAUGACGAUGGUGCAACGACUCAGAACCCACAGAUGCUUCGUGUCUCCUAGGAUCAGGUUAGGUUUGUUUUCGCCUCACCUCAGGUGCGCUGCCCAACUCUCUCUUUCGUCUGUGCUUCCUCUUCUCCCGGUCGUUGCAACUGCCUUGGCUGACAUCGUGCUCGUGCUGCAGUUGGUUCCACAUCUGACAGCCACCGUCCGUCGUUUGCCGCCGCGACCGCCAUGGGAAAGGUGGUGGUUAUGGUUUGGUUGGUGCCAUGGUCUGUUCGUACUUUGGAUUUGGUCAUCCUUCCUCCUGCAUUUCCGGUUUCAGCGGCACCGGAAGCUCGAGGCUCCAGUACCCCUUCUGGUAGCACUGGGCUACCUUCCUGAAGCAGCAUCGGCUAAGCUCCCGACGCUGAUUCUAAGCUACGUCCCUGCCGGCCUUCCGCUGAUUUGUUGA
rnacentral:rRNA from 1 species